rnacentral:rRNA from 1 species
CCUACGGGUGGCAGCAGUAGGGAAUAUUGCUCAAUGGGGGAAACCCUGAAGCAGCAACGCCGCGUGGAGGAUGAAGGUCUUAGGAUUGUAAACUCCUUUUGUUAGAGAAGAUUAUGACUGUAUCUAACGAAUAAGCAUUCGCUAACAACGUGCCAGCAGCCGCGGUAAUACGGAGGGUGCAAGCGUUACUCGGAAUCACUGGGCGUAAAGAGUGCGGAGGCGGGGUAAUAAGUCAGAUGUGAAAGCCUGUAGCUUAACUGCAGAAGUGCAUUUGAAACUGGUACUCUGGAGUGUGGGAGAGGUGAGUGGAAUUCUUGGUGUAGGGGUAAAAUCCGUAGAGAUCAAGAAGAAUACUCAUUGCGAAGGCGACCUGCUGGACCAUUACUGACGCUGAUGCACGAAAGCGUGGGGAGCAAACAGGAUUAGAUACCCGAGUAGUC